rnacentral:lncRNA from 1 species
CGGGACUGCAAAGUGCAGGAGGCUGCUCCUGCGGUUAAUAACUCCCAGACCGCUGCAAGCCCCUGGGCGUUCACUUCCUCGCUGGAAUCUGGACAGUGUUAUCCCGGACAAUUCAGUCCCUGCCAGGAAGACCGACUAGGAGGACUUGCUGGGGGAACCAAGAGGAGUUGGAGAAUGUUCUUUCUGGGUUUGGAUCGGUAAAUAUUUUCUUGACUAUGAAGUCCCUAAAAACAGAGAAAAGCGGAACUAGAAGAGCCCAGCCCCGGGAGCACUGUCCAAUCCCAGGGCCUCAGGGAGCUCUCUCAGACUAGUGUGGACCCAGAAGUCCAGGUUCACUUGUGGGGGUUCUCAAGCACUCCCCAGGAGUGCUCCGAACACCCCAAACCUAACCCUCACCCACCUCUUCCUGCCCCACCCCGAGAUCUGAGGAUGGGCACAGUUUUUGAAGUGGUUCAGCUG